rnacentral:ncRNA from 1 species
CUUAUGAAGAAAGGUGGAGGGAUUGGCCCUAGGAAACCUUGGCAACCUGCAUAUUCAAAUGAAAAGGUGCCAAAUCCACUCGGUACUACCGAAAAGAUAAG